UACGUAGGGUGCGAGCGUUAAUCGGAAUUAUUGGGCGUAAAGCGUGCGCAGGCGGUUUGCUAAGACCGAUGUGAAAUCCCCGGGCUUAACCUGGGAACUGCAUUGGUGACUGGCAGGCUAGAGUAUGGCAGAGGGGGGUAGAAUUCCACGUGUAGCAGUGAAAUGCGUAGAGAUGUGGAGGAAUACCGAUGGCGAAGGCAGCCCCCUGGGCCAAUACUGACGCUCAUGCACGAAAGCGUGGGGAGCAAACAGG
rnacentral:rRNA from 1 species